GAUGAACGCUGGCGGUCUGCUUAACACAUGCAAGUCGAACGGAAUCCUUCGGGGUUUAGUGGCGGACGGGUGAGUAACACGUGAGAAUCUGCACUCAGGAUGGGGACAACAGCGGGAAACUGCUGCUAAUACCCAAUGUGCCGAAAGGUAAAAGAUUUAUCGCCUGAGAAUGAGCUCGCGGCCGAUUAGUUAGUUGGUGGGGUAAUGGCCUACCAAGACGGCGAUCGGUAGCUGGUCUGAGAGGAUGAGCAGCCACACUGGGACUGAGACACGGCCCAGACUCCUACGGGAGGCAGCAGUGGGGAAUUUUCCGCAAUGGGCGCAAGCCUGACGGAGCAAGACCGCGUGGGGGAGGAAGGCUCUUGGGUUGUAAACCCCUUUUCUCAGGGAAGAAGUUCUGACGGUACCUGAGGAAUCAACCUCGGCUAACUCCGUGCCAGCAGCCGCAGUAACAC
rnacentral:rRNA from 1 species